rnacentral:rRNA from 1 species
UACGGAGGGGGCUAGCGUUGUUCGGAAUUACUGGGCGUAAAGCGCACGUAGGCGGCUUUGUAAGUUAGAUGUGAAAGCCCGGGGCUCAACUCCGGAAUUGCCUUUAAGACUGCAUCGCUAGAAUUGUGGAGAGGUGAGUGGAAUUCCGAGUGUAGAGGUGAAAUUCGUAGAUAUUCGGAAGAACACCAGUGGCGAAGGCGACUCACUGGACACAUAUUGACGCUGAGGUGCGAAAGCGUGGGGAGCAAACAGG